ACACUAACAGCACCCUCACACACACAGCACACAAAUAGCACACUCACACACAAACAGCACCCUCACACACAGCACACUAACAGUACCCUCACAUACACACAACACCCAUACACAGCACACAAACAGUACCCUCACAAACAAACAUCACCCACACACUGCACCCUCACACAGCACACGACACCCACACACAGCACACUAACAGUACCC